GGACGAACGCUGGCGGCGUGCUUAACCCAUGCAAGUCGAACGGAAAGGCCUCUUUCGGGGGGUACUCGAGUGGCGAACGGGUGAGUAACACGUGAGUAACCUGCCCUUGACUUUGGGAUAACUUCAGGAAACUGGGGCUAAUACCGGAUAGGAGCUCCUGCUGCAUGGUGGGGGUUGGAAAGUUUCGGCGGUUGGGGAUGGACUCGCGGCUUAUCAGCUUGUUGGUGGGGUAGUGGCUUACCAAGGCUUUGACGGGUAGCCGGCCUGAGAGGGUGACCGGCCACAUUGGGACUGAGAUACGGCCCAGACUCCUACGGGAGGCAGCAGUGGGGAAUAUUGCACAAUGGGUGGAAGCCUGAUGCAGCAACGCCGGGUGCGGGAUGACGGCCUUCGGGUUGUAAACCGCUUUCGCUCAUGACGAAGCUUUGUGUGACGGUAGUGGGUAAAGAAGCACCGGCUAACUACGUG
rnacentral:rRNA from 1 species